UGGGGAAUAUUGGGCAAUGGAGGAAACUCUGACCCAGCGACGCCGCGUGAGGGAUGAAGGCCUUCGGGUUGUAAACCUCUUUCAGUAGGGAAGAAGCGAAAGUGACGGUACCUACAGAAGAAGCACCGGCUAACUAUGUGCCAGCAGCCGCGGUAAUACAUAGGGUGCAAGCGUUGUCCGGAAUUAUUGGGCGUAAAGAGUUCGUAGGCGGUUGCCUAAGUCUGGUGUUAAAUACAGGAGCUCAACUCCUGCAUGGCACUGGAAACUGGGCGGCUAGAGUAUGGUAGAGGUCACGGGAAUUCCAGGUGUAGCGGUGAAAUGCGUAGAUAUCAGGAGGAACACCAAUGGCGAAGGCAGGUCUCUGGGCCAUUACUGACACUGAGGAGCGAAAGCGUGGGGAGCGAACAGG
rnacentral:rRNA from 1 species